AAGGAGCACCAUUUCCCAGUCGAAUGAACUAGGGAACAUAAAGUAGGCAUCUGUAGUGGGUAUCUACUUGGUGAAUAUGUUUUGUAAAUCCUGUCCACCCCGUGGAUGGGUAGUCGGCAAAACGUCGGACUGUCAUAAGAAUUGAAACGCUGGCACACUGUUGGGUCCUGAGGCAACACGUUGUGUUGUCACCCUGCUUGGUGGUGGGGUGUGGACUUUGACUUCUGAAUAGUGGUUGCGAGCAUCUAAACAUAGCCUCGCUCGUUUUCGAGUGAGGCUGGUUUUUGCAAUUUUAUU
rnacentral:misc_RNA from 1 species